CCUACGGGAGGCUGCAGUGGGGAAUCUUGCACAAUGGGCGCAAGCCUGAUGCAGCCAUGCCGCGUGUAUGAAGAAGGCCUUCGGGUUGUAAAGUACUUUCAGUCGUGAGGAAGGUGUUAAGGUUAAUAACCUUAGCAAUUGACGUUAGCGACAGAAGAAGCACCGGCUAACUCCGUGCCAGCAGCCGCGGUAAUACGGAGGGUGCGAGCGUUAAUCGGAAUUACUGGGCGUAAAGGGCACGCAGGCGGUUAAUUAAGUUGGAUGUGAAAUCCCCGGGCUUAAGCCGGGAAUGGCAUUCAAGCAUGGUUAGCUAGUGGAUUGUAGAGGGGGGUAGAAUUCCAUGUGUAGCGGUAAAAUGCGUAGAGAUGUGGAGGGAUACCUGUAGCGAAGGCGGCCAGCUGGACAAAGACUGACGCUCAGGUGAGAAAGCGUGGAGAGCAAACAGGAUUAGAUACUCCACUAGUC
rnacentral:rRNA from 1 species